rnacentral:rRNA from 1 species
ACUCCUACGGGAGGCAGCAGUGGGGAAUAUUGCACAAUGGGCGCAAGCCUGAUGCAGCCAUGCCGCGUGUAUGAAGAAGGCCUUCGGGUUGUAAAGUACUUUCAGCAGUGAGGAAGGUGGAGUCGUUAAUAGCGGCCUCAUUUGACGUUAGCUGCAGAAGAAGCACCGGCUAACUCCGUGCCAGCAGCCGCGGUAAUACGGAGGGUGCGAGCGUUAAUCGGAAUUACUGGGCGUAAAGCGCAUGCAGGUGGUUUGUUAAGUCAGAUGUGAAAGCCCGGGGCUCAACCUCGGAAUUGCAUUUGAAACUGGCAGACUAGAGUACUGUAGAGGGGGGUAGAAUUUCAGGUGUAGCGGUGAAAUGCGUAGAGAUCUGAAGGAUACCGGUGGCGAAGGCGGCCCCCUGGACAGAUACUGACACUCAGAUGCGAAAGCGUGGGGAGCAAACAGGAUUAGAUACCCUGGUAGGAUAGCG